AUGGGGCUGUGUCCCUGUAGUAUGCUGUUUUUAAGUCCUUUGGGUAUAGUCCGAGAAGGGGAAUAGCUGGGUCAAAUGGUGGUUCCAUUCCAAGUUUUCCAAGGAAUCUCCAUCCUGCUUUCCAUAUUGGUUGUACCAAUUUGCAGUCCCACCAGCAAUGUAUGAGUGUACCUUUUUCCCCACAUCCUUGCCAACACUUAUUGUUGUUUGUAUUCUUCAUAGCUGCCAUUCUGACUGGAAUGAGAUGAAAUCUUAGAGUAGUUUUGAUUGAGAAAACCUCAGUCUUCUUUGAGAAUAUCAAAGUAAUCUUGUACAGAGUGUUGGUAGAAUAUAGAUGGUAAAAAUCAUUCUGACAAGAUUUCAGACAGAAUUGAGAUACAAGUUUUUGGAAAUUAGAGAAAAGGUAAUCCUUGUUAUAAAGUGGCAAAGAUCUGGGCACAAUUGUACAUACCUAUAAUCCCAGCAAAUAAGGAAGCUGAAGCAGGAGGAUCCAAAGUUGGAGGCUAGCUUCUGAGACCCUGACUCAAAAUUAAAAACAAAAAGGACUGGAGAUAUAGCUCAUUGUAGUAGGGCACCCCUUGGUUCUAUCCCCAAUACCAUUAAAAAAAAAAAAAAAAGAAAAAGAGAAGAAUUGCAAAGAAUCUGACUGAAUUGUGUUCAUGUUCUAGUGUUUUAUGGAAGGUAGAAAUUGUAUGCAAAGAAAUAGGAUAAAUUUAAUUGAAACAGUUUCUAAGUAAAGUUGUUUAAGAUGCAUCUUGGCUCCUUCUGCUUGCUUAGAGUAAAAUGUAAGAGGAGAGAAAUAAUCUAAGGCAUUGUUAAACAAAGAAGGAACUAGACAUUAAAGAUAUGGAAAAUUCUUAGCCUAUGCAUAUUGCAAAAAAAAAAAAAAUGAGAAAUCAUGUUUAGAAGAGAACACUAAGAGUGUGAUUUGAUGAGGUUAGAAUAGAUGUGAACCAUGACCCUAAUCAGCUAUCUGAAUAGAAGCUAGGCAUUGGGCCGGGGCUGUAGCUCAGUAGCAGAGUGCUUGCCUAGCAUGUGCGUGCGAGACACUGGGUUCAAUCCUUAGCACCACAUACAAAUAAAAUAAAGGCAUUCUUUCCAUCUACAACUACAAAAGGAGAAGGAGAAGGAGAAAGGAAUUAUUCUUCAAAACAAGAGAAGAAUGACCCCAAGAAGAAGAAGAAGCUAGGCAUUAUCCUUCAAAACAAGAGAAGAAUGACCCCAAGAGUAAUUGAGGGUAAAAAAAAGGGUAAAUGAGGGCUGGCUCAUUGGUUUCAAAUGACAGUACUAUCACCCUGUUUUCAAAAAACCAUAUGAUCUCUGCCUAAAGCCAUGGGGAGAUAUGUCAACCAAAUCUAUAGGGGCAAUACUGGUUGGUUCUUUGGGGUCCUAACUCCUGUCAGGCAAAGCUGUAGGGGCAUGACUGCCACCCUAGUCGGUCCUGAAUGUGGGAUGCCUGCCCAGAGGGCUUACAGGGCAGACACUUGAGCCCAAAUGUACCAUCAUCAUCAUCAUCAUCAUCAUCAUCAUCAUUUUCUUACAGUGCUGAGGAUUGAAUCUAGGGGCACUUAACCA
rnacentral:lncRNA from 1 species